CCUACGGGGGGCAGCAGUGGGGAAUAUUGCGCAAUGGGCGAAAGCCUGACGCAGCGACGCCGCGUGAGGGAUGAAGGUUUUCGGAUCGUAAACCUCUGUCGGAAGGGAAGAAGGUGCACUCUGCUAAUCAGGGGUGUAUUGACGGUACCUUCAAAGGAAGCACCGGCUAACUCCGUGCCAGCAGCCGCGGUAAUACGGAGGGUGCGAGCGUUAAUCGGAAUUACUGGGCGUAAAGCGCACGUAGGCUGUCAUGUAAGUCAGGGGUGAAAUCCCACGGCUCAACCGUGGAACUGCCUUUGAUACUGCGUGACUUGAAUCCGGGAGAGGGUGGCGGAAUUCCAGGUGUAGGAGUGAAAUCCGUAGAUAUCUGGAGGAACAUCAGUGGCGAAGGCGGCCACCUGGACCGGUAUUGACGCUGAGGUGCGAAAGCGUGGGGAGCAAACAGGAUUAGAUACCCGGGUAGUC
rnacentral:rRNA from 1 species